rnacentral:rRNA from 1 species
AUGUGUAGGAUAGGUGGGAGACUAUGAAAUUGCGUCGCUAGAUGUGAUGGAGUCGUCCUUGAAAUACCACCCUUGUAGUUUUGAUGUUCUAACGUUGGUCCCUGAAUCGGGAUUACGGACAGUGCCUGGUGGGUAGUUUGACUGGGGCGGUCUCCUCCCAAAGAGUAACGGAGGAGCACGAAGGUGGGCUAAACACGGUUGGACAUCGUG